rnacentral:rRNA from 1 species
UGCGCAGGCGGUUUUUGUAAGACAGGUGUGAAAUCCCCGGGCCUUAACCUGGGAACUGCAUUUGUGACUGCAAGGCUAGAGUGUGGCAGAGGGGGGUAGGAAUUCCGCGUGUAGCAGUGAAAUGCGUAGAUAUGCGGAGGAAUACCGAUGGCGAAGGCAGCCCCCUGGGUCAACACUGACGCUCAUGCACGAAAGCGUGGGGAGCAAACAGGAUUAGAUACCCUGGUAGUCCACGCCCUAAACGAUGUCAACUAGGUGUUGGGGGAGGAGACUUCCUUAGUACCGCAGCUAACGCGUGAAGUUGACCGCCUGGGGAGUACGGCCGCAAGGUUGAA